UACAGAGGUCCCAAGCGUUGUUCGGAUUCACUGGGCGUAAAGGGUGCGUAGGCGGCGCGGUAAGUCGGGUGUGAAAUCUUGGAGCUUAACUCCGAAACUGCAUUCGAUACUGCCGUGCUUGAGGACUGGAGAGGAGACUGGAAUUCACGGUGUAGCAGUGAAAUGCGUAGAUAUCGUGAGGAAGACCAGUGGCGAAGGCGGGUCUCUGGACAGUUCCUGACGCUGAGGCGCGAAGGCCAGGGGAGCAAACGGG
rnacentral:rRNA from 1 species